ensembl:lncRNA
GGAUGCUGUUAAGGUAGUGCUCAUUUAUACGUUAAUGCAAACGCUUUUGGCCUGUUUGUAUUGGUGGGAAAACUUCGAGAAAGAAGUCGUCCUCCCGGAGGAAUGGCAUGAGAACUUCCGAAUGUCGCGCUCAUCACUACUGUCUCUUUCGGAGUUACUGCAUCCCCUCCAUAGAAGGUCAGACUACUGUCAUGCGGUCGCCGGUCAGUGUAGUUUAAAAAGUUGCCCUCACCCUAUACUAUUUAUCUGAUGAGGGUAGACUACGUAAAACGGCAAACGCAUUCGGCCUGUCUAGAUCGGCUGUUUCAAUAAUAAUCAGCUCGGGGGCGUAUCUAUGCGGGUUCAUGUAAACAGAAACCUUUUGGAAAACGAUCUUGUGUGUACAACGUUAUUUUUGAAAACGGAGGGGCAGAAAUAUUCGUUUCUGUAAAUACCCGGCUAUGUGUAAAUGUGGUCUUAGACUGUUGGACUUGGACUGACUCUGAAAUGUAACUGGAAGCCGUAACAAAUCUAUCCACCCAAGCUACGGAAGUCUAAAGAGAGCAUUUUAUCAUCGUAAACACGUCCAAAUGAAUGUCAUCUUAAAAUGGUUCAGACAUAUAACCUUUGUUUUUAAAGUUGAUUUUAAUACUCCAUUUUAAUGUCAGGGUCAUAUCCCAACAUCAUGAGCUGUCAUCAAGUUAAAGGUGCUUUUCUGUCAUCAAGUUAAAGGUGCUUUUCUGUCAUCAAGUUAAAGGUGCUUUUCUGUCAUCAAGUUAAAGGUGCUUUUCUGUCAUCAAGUUAAAGGUGAUUUUCUGUCAUCAAGUUAAAGGUGCUUUUCUGUCAUAAAGUUAAAGGUGCUUUUCUGUCAACCAGUAGCCCUGCUUUUGUGUCCCUGCCCGUUGGAUAUGGAAGCCAAUGACAAAAAGGCUUUUUAAGGUUCUCAGAGUUGCUUUCACAUGGACUGAGAAGUGAAUGUUAUUUUAUUGAUAUAAAGUCACUAUCUGUGUUUUUAAAUAUGUUGGACUGCCUCCUAUCAAGAAAACAUGAUUUCCUCACGCAUUCACGCACAGACACAAUGGAGCCAGCCUGUCGGGGAAUAGAAUGAAAAACUGUCUCAAAGUCAAAUGCUGUUGCCCAAUAGUUUACGACAUCCCUGAUUUAUGAGUUUGUUUUUUUUCUUUUUUCUUACGCACCCUACCCAGGCACAAACUCUUUUCUUUCCCUGACAGGGCAUGGCAAGGCGUUGCACUUCCUUCCUCUACCAACACCAGCCAAAGCCAUGACCAGCAUGCCAACAACAAAGCCAAGCCUGGGAGUCAGCCACCGUAGUGGCAAUGCUGACGGACAGAUCUCCUGCCUCAGGGGUUUUCCAGGGUU